CUAGGAGAAUAGUCGUAGUCGUUACUCUAACCCUUGUGGAAGAGGACGCCGAAGGUAGGGCUGAUGACUGGGGUGAAGUCGUAACAAGGUAGCCGUACCGGAAGGUGUGGCUGGAUCACCUCCUUUUAGGGAGACCUCACACUAUUAUGACUGAAACAAACUGGAUUAAGUCAGAUAGAUGUUAUCCCAAGGUCGAGCGUUUUUAAUCGAGAGGGCUUUCAAACUUAUAUUCUAGUUCAGCUUGCCAUGCGGGCUAUUAGCUCAGUGGUAGAGCACACCCCUGAUAAGGGUGCGGUCUCUGGUUCAAGUCCAGAAUAGCCCACUUAUCUAACGCAACUAGUUAAUGUUAAUUACUCAACCUUCAAGUUGAUGGUAAUGAUGUUAAUUAAACUAGGGGGUUUAGCUCAGUUGGUAGAGCGCCUGCUUUGCAAGCAGGAUGUCAGCGGUUCGAGUCCGCUAACCUCCAUCGGCGAUACUAACAACCGAAGCUAGAGCAAACGAACUAGAUAUAGAUAGACGCAAACAUCCGGAAUUGAUUUCAGCACCUACUAACUUAAAAGUAGUCUGCUGGACUUACAGUCCAGUUCGCACCUUGACAACUGCAUAAUAAUCAACAGUCAGGUAGGUCGUAAUGUAAAUUACAGACAAUCCAAAACAAAUCAAAGAAUCUUUGUGACGUAAGUUUUGGAGGGGAGUGAAUAAAUUUCACCGAAACUAAAAAGCUAAAAGCCAC
rnacentral:misc_RNA from 1 species